GUGAGUUUUUGUCUUUAUGAUUAAAUAGGACGCUGUGUUAGAGUGAGACUGCACUAUGGUGUGCACUUGUUUAAAGGAAGUGGCAGCUUGUAGCAGAUGAUGCCUUGCAAUGAACUGCGUGUGGUCAAAGACUUAUUCCAAAAGCAGUUCCUUGUAUUUCUUCUUGUAUGGGAACUGCUGAAUCACAGCCUAAGCCACUGAUUGAGCACCUGGGGAAAGGACCCAGUCAGCCCUGGGAGCACAAGUGAAGGCAAUGCAGCUGUGGGACAGGAAGGGGUGGAGCCUGGCUGCACCUCUCCUAGACCCCAUUUAAGGGCUGAGUGCCACUGGGGAAGGAUUUCUGAUUGGAGGUUUCUUCUUUGUGGAGUCUUUCCUGGGAGUAGAAGAUUAAAAGUCUGAAUUGUACAAAUGACACUCCUGGUUGCCAAGAAAGCUUUGAUCUUGAUAAUGACAGGAUGCGAUGGCUGGAAGCUGUAGCUCACAGGAUUCAUAUGAGAAGCAAGGAAUCAAGCUGUUCAGAAUGAGCCACAGACCUUGCUGAUGUGACUGCACAUUUACGAAUCACAGAGCAUCCUGAGCUGGAAAGGACCCAUGAGGAUCACUGAGUCCGACUCCACGCAGGACAACCUAAGAACGAAACCAGCUUCCUGCUGUUCUGUAGGAGGAGAACAGUUUGUGGAGUGCAUGUGCAGACAAAACCGCUGUGAUCCACAAGGCUGCUGGGUCAGAGAGUCGAUCUGCCCUGCUCUACAGGCCUAUCAAAGCACCUCAGCAAAGAGCUCAGUGUUGUGAGCUGCUUCUGAUGCCAGACAAAGUCUGUCUGAACCGCGGGAUCGCAGGGGCUGGAAAGAACCUCAAAGAGCAUCGAGUCCAACCCCCUGCUGAGGCUGGGCCUUGGAUGCUGCCAUAGGAGACUCCACAGCCCCUCUGGGCAUCUCGUGCCUUAGUGUAAGUAACUUCUUCCUUAUUUCUAGUCCAGAUCUUUUUUGGCUUGAGC
ensembl:lncRNA